rnacentral:lncRNA from 1 species
AUGUUUGGACAAACAAAUAUACUUAGUUCCGUGUUCAGAAGUGUGGAUCUCCGUACUGUCUGGAUGUUAUCCGAUGAAUAUCUAGGUGCAGAGGAUUGGACUGAUUAUAUUUGGAAUGAGCAAAAAUCCAUCUCCGUACCUGACCUUUUUGAGGGGUAUUUCAUGCAUGUCCCUCCCCCUCUUGGCGAUUUAUCAGGAAGUUGCUCACAGAGAAUUUGCUCAGUCUAGCGGAAGGUUUCUCAAGGUCAGCGUGAUGACAUAUCAUAGGCACAUACUGUACUUGUAUAUCAGCAGUUCCUGAGAAGAGGCUACAAAUCAGUAGUCAAGCAUAGUAGAUCUCCAGGCUUUCAUCUCCAUAAUGGACUUCCCCACUUGAAUAUGAAGGUAGGUCAAUGUUACAGACUUCAGAAUCUUUUUCAAAGUAGCUGUGAGUUAUAUCACUAAAAUC